AUUGAACGCUGGCGGCAUGCCUUACACAUGCAAGUCGAACGGUAACGGGCCUUCGGGUGCCGACGAGUGGCGAACGGGUGAGUAAUACAUCGGAACGUGCCCGAUCGUGGGGGAUAACGAGGCGAAAGCUUUGCUAAUACCGCAUACGAUCUACGGAUGAAAGCAGGGGACCGCAAGGCCUUGCGCGGACGGAGCGGCCGAUGGCAGAUUAGGUAGUUGGUGGGAUAAAAGCUUACCAAGCCGACGAUCUGUAGCUGGCCUGAGAGGAUGAUCAGCCACACUGGGACUGAGACACGGCCCAGACUCCUACGGGAGGCAGCAGUGGGGAAUUUUGGACAAUGGGCGCAAGCCUGAUCCAGCCAUGCCGCGUGCAGGAUGAAGGCCUUCGGGUUGUAAACUGCUUUUGUACGGAACGAAAAGCCUUCUUUUAAUACAGGAGGGUCAUGACGGUACCGUAAGAAUAAGCACCGGCUAACUACGUG
rnacentral:rRNA from 1 species